rnacentral:lncRNA from 1 species
UCGGCUUUGCUUAGGGUUGUAGAAAAUGAAAAGAAUCAAGUUGUAAUAAUCAUGUUAAAUCGGAUUGUAUUUGGAAGUUGAAUGUAAUAAGUAUUUGGGAUGUAAAAUGUAUGAAUGUGAAUGCUUGUAAUAACAAGUAGAUUAUGUUUUUGAUACUUCCUUAUGCAAUCUUUGAUUGAAAUGUGUUCCUGGUUGGAACUUUGUACAUUGUAUUGAUUGCGACGCCUUGAAUGUACAGGGGAGACUCUGUCCGCGGUACAGGGGAAACCCUGUCCGUUCGGCG